GUUUAACUCGAUAAACAAUUCCGAGAAAUAACACUCCUUUCUUGCUCAUUCCCCGUCUCAGUCUCCGUAUCUCAUCCUCUUUCGUAUCUAUCGAUCUUCUUAUUUACCCUUUUUUUAUUAUAUCUCUAACAUCUUUCCAAGCAAAUAUCCUACCAAUUUCACCAUACCUACCCAAAAUAGAGAUUAAAAUAUAACCAAAACCAAUCCCUACUCCCGCAAAACAUGAAAGGUGAGUAUGUAGAGCCACACCACCCACCAAAGCAUGAAAACGUCACCCCUAUGAACAUGUUCUCCAAACUUC
rnacentral:misc_RNA from 1 species